ensembl:lncRNA
UCUAGGUUGCCCACUGGCCAAGCAAUCACUCUCAUACUUGCUGGUACACUGGUUUAGCUUGAAUGCUGCCACUUCCUAUUUGUCUCCAACCUCUUGCCUUCCUAUCUUGCUCUACACUGAAGAAUGACCUCUGCAUAGUCCCUGUCCUGGCUUCCUUGCCUGUUGGUUUCACCCAUUGGUUUCUACUGGUUUUCAACAAGUGAGAGUGAUCGAUGGGAGGCAGGUGACCAGAGGUCAAGUGGUAACUAUAUGAGAGAAGGUCACAGUGGAGGAGCACAGCAUGUUGGUCAUUCCCACUAACAGGAUAAGCAGUGUGAUGGUAAAUACUGGCUUUCGUCAAGAACUAGGAAAGCCUAGGAGACAAACCUAUCACAGCAGUUGCCUGGCAUCUGAGAAUUCCUAAAGCCAUGCAGGAAAGCAAGACCAUUGAUGGGA